CGGGACGGGUGAGUAAUGUCUGGGAAACUGCCUGAUGGAGGGGGAUAACUACUGGAAACGGUAGCUAAUACCGCAUAACGUCGCAAGACCAAAGAGGGGGGCCUUCGGGCCUCUUGCCAUCGGAUGUGCCCAGAUGGGAUUAGCUAGUAGGUGGGGUAACGGCUCACCUAGGCGACGAUCCCUAGCUGGUCUGAGAGGAUGCCAGCCACACUGGAACUGAGACACGGUCCAG
rnacentral:rRNA from 1 species